rnacentral:rRNA from 1 species
AUUGAACGCUGGCGGCAUGCCUUACACAUGCAAGUCGAACGGCAGCACGGGAGCUUGCUCCUGGUGGCGAGUGGCGAACGGGUGAGUAAUACAUCGGAACGUACCCUGAAGUGGGGGAUAACGUAGCGAAAGUUACGCUAAUACCGCAUAUUCUGUGAGCAGGAAAGAGGGGGAUCGCAAGACCUCUUGCUUUAGGAGCGGCCGAUGUCGGAUUAGCUAGUUGGUGAGGUAAAGGCUCACCAAGGCGACGAUCCGUAGCGGGUCUGAGAGGAUGAUCCGCACACUGGGACUGAGACACGGCCCAGACUCCUACGGGAGGCAGCAGUGGGGAAUUUUUGGACAAUGGGCGCAAGCCUGAUCCAGCCAUGCCGCGUGAGUGAAGAAGGCCUC